rnacentral:rRNA from 1 species
AUUGAACGCUGGCGGCAGGCCUAACACAUGCAAGUCGAACGAGUGGCGGACGGGUGAGUAAUGUCUGGGAAACUGCCUGAUAGAGGGGGAUAACUACUGGAAACGGUAGCUAAUACCGCAUACCAUCAGAUGUGCCCAGAUCGGAUUAGCUUGUUUGUGGGGUAACGGCGGACCAAGGGGACGAUCCCUAGCUGGUCUGAGAGGAUGACCAGCCACACGGGAACUGAGACACGGUCCAGACUCCUACGGGAGGCAGCAGUGGGGAAUAUUGCACAAUGGGCGAAAGCCUGAUGCAGCCAUGCCGCGUGUAUGAAGAAGGCCUUCGGGUUGUAAAGCACUUUAAGUGGGGAGGCGUUACCCGCAGAAGAAGCACCGGCUAACUCCGUGCCAGCAGCCGCGGUAAUAC